GGAUGUGAGGACAGUUUGGCUGUGACAUCUGUCACCCCAUUGAUUGUCAGGGUUGAUUCAACUGAUCUGGCUGGCUAGGCAGGUGUCCCCUUCCUCCCUCACCACUCCAUGUGUGUCCUUCCUGAAGCUGUUUGCUUGGUCGAAGAGGAUGACCAUCCCAGAUAAAUGAGGACCCAUCUUUGGUCAAGGGUAUUCAAGUAGCUUCACUCCCCUGCUAGAACCUCCAAACAGGCUCUCAAAUAUUCUCUGCCAUUUGCAGCUCUGGAAGUGCCCUUAAGAAUGUACCAUGUGUUGACAGAGUCAAAUGCUGCCU
rnacentral:snRNA from 1 species